rnacentral:pre_miRNA from 15 species
CAAAGCAUUGGUUACCUGGAUGUGAUGAGUUGGCAGUGUAUUGUUAGCUGGUUGAAUAUGUGAGUAGCACCAGCUAACGUGCAGCUGCUAACUUAUUGCAGACCCUACAAACAUCAAAGUGU